rnacentral:rRNA from 1 species
GAGUUUGAUCCUGGCUCAGGACGAACGCUGGCGGCGCGCCUAACACAUGCAAGUCGAACGAGCGAGAGAGAGCUUGCUUUCUCGAGCGAGUGGCGAACGGGUGAGUAACGCGUGAGGAACCUGCCUCAAAGAGGGGGACAACAGUUGGAAACGACUGCUAAUACCGCAUAAGCCCACAGGUCGGCAUCGACCAGAGGGAAAAGGAGCAAUCCGCUUUGAGAUGGCCUCGCGUCCGAUUAGCUAGUUGGUGAGGUAACGGCCCACCAAGGCGACGAUCCAUAGCCGGCCUGAGAGGGUGAACGGCCACAUUGGGACUGAGACACGGCCCAGACUCCUACGGGAGGCAGCAGUGGGGGAUAUUGCACAAUGGGGGAAACCCUGAUGCAGCGACGCCGCGUGGAGGAAGAAGGUUUUCGGAUUGUAAACUCCUGUCGUUAGGGACGAUAAUGACGGUACCUAACAAGAAAGCACCGGCUAACUACGUGCCAGCCGCCGCGGUAAUAC